rnacentral:rRNA from 1 species
AGUCUUGCGGAGGUAGAGCACUGAAUUUCCUAGGGGGCGUCAAAGCUUACCGAAGAAUAUCAAACUCCGAAUGCCGUAAAGAUGCUUAUCGGGAGUCAGACUACACGAGAUAAGUUGGGUGGGUCAAAAGGGAAAGAGCCCAGACCUCCGGCUAAGGUCCCAAAGUGCGUGUUAAGUGGAAAAGGAUGUGGGAUUUCAAAGACAACCAGGAUGUUGGCUCAGAAGCAGCCAUCCAUUCAAAGAGUGCGUAAUAGCUCACUGGUCGAGAGGUCCUGCGCCGAAAAUGUCCGGGGCUGAAACACGACACCGAAGCCGAGGGAUCCGAAAGGACCGGUAGAGGAGCAUUGCAUAAGGGAAGAAGCAGUACCGGAAGGAGCUGUGGACUUUAUGGAAGAGAGAAUGCCGGGGGAUAAGCUCCGUAGUCGAAGAGGGAAACAGCCCAGAUCACCAGCUAAGGCCCCUAAGCGUGUGCUAAGUGGGUCGACGCGGCCGAGUCGUAGGAGG